rnacentral:lncRNA from 1 species
GGGAGUUUGAAGCUGGGACGUUGGGCUUUUGGAGAAGCGAGAGAACAGAGGGGAGGAACUUUUGAGACAGGGAACCUGGAGAUUCGAUUCCACUUGGGUCUUCCGGACGGGUUGAAUUCGGGGCUUUAUCGUGUUCUGGAAAAGGUGUGAGAGGUACGGAGCUGAGAUUCUGAGUAUUUGGAGAAGCGAGAGAACUAGGGUCAAGGAUUCUUGGGACUCCAAGACGCACUGGCGGGGGAAGGAGGUUGCCGGGAAGAGUUCAAUGUUCGGGUCUUGGAGCCGGACAGCGAGUUUGGAGGUGAAGUCCAGGGGCGUUUGAAAGUCAGGAGACUAGGAGAAGUGGGAGGAAGUAUCAGAAUUAGGAUACGUAGUCUCCCGAACUAGAUCGGAGCAUUGUCGUCUUUGAGCGAUGUGUUCGGAUCUGGGUCUCUGGAUCCAAGGGCAGUUUGGAAGGAGAAUCGCGGACUUUCAAGGAACAGAGGGACCGGGAGAAAGCAAAUUUAGAGCCG